CAGUCGCCGCGGUAAUGCGGAGGGGGCUAGCGUUGUUCGGAAUUACUGGGCGUAAAGCGCACGUAGGCGGCUUGGUAAGUUAGAGGUGAAAGCCCGGAGCUCAACUCCGGAAUUGCCUUUAAGACUGCCGAGCUAGUAGGUGAGAGAGGUAAGUGGAAUUCCGAGUGUAGAGGUGAAAUUCGUAGAUAUUCGGAAGAACACCAGUGGCGAAGGCGGCUUACUGGCUCAUUCUAGGCGCUGAGGUGCGAAAGCGUGGGGAGCAAACAGGAUUAGAUACCCCCGUAGUCCCUGUCUCUUAUAC
rnacentral:rRNA from 1 species